GAUUAGAAAAGAAGACUGAUGAGAAGUUCCAGAUGUUGUGAUAAAGCUACUUUCUUCAACUAAUGAUAUCCUUUACUUUGGAAGAUAAUUUCAAGAAAAAUUUCUCUGGGUGCAAUUAUCAGAAAACGUGAAUUUUUACUAAAGUUCCCACAAAAUACCAUCCUACAUUUAUCUGUAACUAGCUCUGUAAUUCAGAGUGUGAAGAUAAUAUUUCAUGUGCAUUGAAAAUCUCUUCAUGUUUUCUGAGAAGAGAGUCCAUAAUCCAUUUUGAUAAGUUUUGGUAGACAAUGAGGGUAAACAUGGUAUCGAAUGCAAACAUUGGCGGCAGGGGUCAGGACGGUCCCCAGAGCACACCCAGAGGCUUUGCCACUAGCAGGUGGUGGAACAAAUACUUGGGGAAACUCAAGCCUAUAUAGGACAUCGGUCUAGGAACUGAGCUACGCUGAAUUUAGUCCUAACUUUAAAUGACCUGUACUGAUGCAAGGUUCACAAAUACAGUCCAUCCUCAUUAUUUUGAGAUUCUAAAUAUGUAAAUUUGCCUACUUGCUAAAAUUUAUUUGUAAUCCCCAAAUCAAUACUUAAUGGCACUUUGACAGUCACACGCGGACGAGAACAGAGUGGCAAAACUUUGUGUCACGCAAUGCAUACAUUCUCAGCUGAGGUCAAAGAAGGCCAUACUCUGCCUUCUUGUUUCAGCUCUCCGACAGAGGUGACCAGAGGAUGGAGACUGUAGUGGGUGGCGCACUGCAGUGCAGGACGCUCUGGCUCUGGGGCCAGUUGGAUGAGGACUGAAUCCCCACUUUGGCACCUGUUCUGGGGCGGCCUCAAGCAAGCCACUGAACACCUCCAGAGGACCAGACUCUGGUCCAGCUGGCCUGUGUACCACACUCUAGUACCCUGUUUCUCACUUGUACCAACAAUAAUGAACAAAAUAAUGAAUACCUUCUACCAUGUUGUACUGUUUUCUGUCUUUAUAUGAGCAAGAUACAUUAUUUACUUAUUUGUUUUUAUCAAGUUACAAAGUUUUCUACGGUAUUACAUUUUAGACACGUGGACUUAAAAAUAUACAGAAUUCAUAGAGAUGUAAUGACUUUAUCACUCCCCACUUUCCCCAAAGAAGUUUAUUUCUUUGUUGCGAUAAGAAUCUCCAAACCAAGGCUCCCUCCUCUCCUAUCCACAGCAUUGUCUAUUAUGAAACAGAAUUUUUGUUCCCAAGACUCACUCAACAGGACUGAUUAGGUACUGUGCUGAGUGCUGUGGAAGAUUCAGAUAAGGAAGUUGUCUCUCCUUCUUACCAAAACAUGGGAGGAAAUUAAGUGAACAUAGAGAAAAGAAAAAGAAAACUAUAUGAUCAAAUAAAUACAAUUAUAUUGAAGUCUAUGUGUUUAGUCUCUAACUUAAAGCAUUCCAAGAGUCUGCCAAUCAGAAUUUUAGCCAUUUGGAAUUUUCCUUAUUUUCAUCCAUUUUGUCAUUAAAAUUACCAUAAUGCCUCUCGUUUCUGUCAAUGUGAUGGGUUCUGAACAUUGGUAAAGAUGAAGAAAAAAACCACCACUGGUGCCACCAACAGCUAUUAAAAAAUUUGUUCCAAAGUUUCCAUACAAAUGAGUCAAUAAACUCUAGCUUGGUAGGUUAAGUGAAGCAUGUGAAGCUAUAAAUUCAGAAUUUUAUGCACCUCCUAAGAACAUGGUAUAAAUAUAGAUGGACUGCCUUUUCCAGUACAGUGAGAACUCCUUGAUCAAUGUCUGCAGUUAUGCUCUGUAUUAAGGCCACUAGAGUCCGUUUGAUGAAUCACUGCUCCUAAGGGCUAAAUGUAUGGCGAAAUGAUUGGUUCCCCUUUCUGUUCACCUCCUUCCCCCUCAUUGGCGUGUAGCUCUCGUCUCCUUUUCCCAUUCUGUGCAGAAAAUAUGGAACAACCUCUGUACUAAGUUUUCUGUCAGACGCCUUAUUGGCCUGAUUGUGGGUGAAAGAGCGAUUGGUGCCUAGGACUCAAAGCUUACACAUAGGAUUCACAUCCUCAGUGGAAUCACAUUCGCAAGACCCCAAGGUCAUGUGCAGGGAAGCAUGGAGUCCCUUGUGUUAACUGCAGACAGGAUGUCUAUUCUGGGUUUGCUCUGCUAAACACAGACAAAAACCUCACUGGCUUUAAACAGGAGUCAGCACAGGACUGCAGGCCUGGGGACAGCGUCUGUUCAUUCUGAUGUCCUUGGUAUUCAGCUCUUGGUUGCCACACCGACCGGCCCACACCUAUCCCCAGGUUCACCUAUUGGUCAGGUACCAAAACAUUCCAAGCAUUCUUGAGACUUCCUCUUUUGAAAAUAAUUUUAAAAUGGAACCUUCGAGGCCUAUGAAAGCUGAGCCUACUAAAGUGAACCAGUAUUACACACACAUGCAUUCAUUAAAAACAAGCUGGCCCCUUAAAUUAAAUAGGGUAGUUCCUGCUACUGCUUCUGAAUUGUCCCAUAUCAGAAACAGCCUAAAAUGUCUAAUUAUGUCAUUUAACUAAACUCUCAGGAAUUUAAUCCUUUUCAAAUAGAGCCUAUUGUCUUGAAAUUGCACAUUUAGUUAAGGGACCUGAGUCCUUUUACCAGAGUACUUCAUGAAUAUUGAGAAAUGUCAGAUUCAAUAAUUUAUCACCUGGAUACCGCGUGCGUCGAAGUUGAGGACACGGUAACAGUGGUAAUGACACGGUGAAUUAUGUUACCAUGGCAGGACAGCCUCCAGCAGCUACUCGGGUUUCAGCUCUGUAGACUUCACAUCUUUAUCAGGACCUGGGUCAGAGGGGCGUGGUGUUGGCACACGUGUUAAAAUUGUUUGCCCUCAUGGAAUUUUAUAAUUUGUUCCUUGGAUUCAGACAUCCAUGACGAUCUUUUAGGUACCAUAAGAAAUCCCUGAAUAUGACAGAUCUUUAAAUAUUUAGGUGUUUUAUAAUUAAUUUUAGUCAUCCUCACACUGUACAUUUGAAAAGAGUGUUUUCCAACUCUGAUAGGACACAAAAGAAGUUUUGUACUUGUGAGAGUAGGUAAGUAUGUGGAAGAGCUACUUCAUCGUUAGUAAUUGAUGCCUAGUAAAUGAGAUGUUUCAGGUUUGUUAGAAACAAAAAAAUCACCCCUGGUAUGGUCUAAUUUUACAUGUUAUCGUGGUCCAAUAAUCUAUGUUCCCAUGAAUUCUACCUAAAAAAGGAUAAGUGAAGUAAAUUUGUAAGAAUGUCAGACCAUUUGGUCAGAUAGGAUGUAUUUUCUCAAUAUUGAAUCAGAGGCUGAGAAUGAAUGAUUAGAUAUGAUCAGUUGGCAGCCUGGAGUUUGUUUUCUCCUUUCUUCUUUGGUGUCCUUCUGGAAAUAAGGAUUUCUCUCUCUCUCUCUCUCUCUCUCUCUCUCUCUCUGUGUGUGUGUGUGUGUGUGUGUGUGUGUGUGUGUGUGUUCUUUGCAUCUGUAAAGUUUUGGCAAUUUAGUACGCUUGCUAUCUAUUGGGACAAGUUUGUAUGACAAAUAUGAAUAACCCAAUGAAGCUUCUUGCAACUUAUGAAAUGUAUCAG
ensembl:lncRNA